rnacentral:rRNA from 1 species
GUGGAUUAGAUACCCUGGUAGUCCACGCUGUAAACGAUGGGCACUAGGUGUGGGGGGUGUCGACUCCCUCCGUGCCGAAGCUAACGCAUUAAGUGCCCCGCCUGGGGAGUACGGCCGCAAGGCUAAAACUCAAAGGAAUUGACGGGGGCCCGCACAAGCAGCGGAGCAUGUGGUUUAAUUCGACGCAACGCGAAGAACCUUACCUGGGCUUGACAUGUAGGUCAUACCCGUGGAAACACGGGGUCAGUUCGGCUGGACCUUCACAGGUGGUGCAUGGCCGUCGACAGCU